rnacentral:ncRNA from 2 species
UAAUACAUCAUGGGGAGCCUGUGAACAGGCUGAGAGGAAGUUUUAGCUUCGACCCUUAUAACCUGAUUUGGAUAAUGCCAACGUAGGGAACUUGAAAGUGAAAUUU